CGUCUCGGAAGCGAAGCCAUGCUAGCUUCGAGGCCGUCGGGCUUAGAGGAGUGCGAACUUCGUAGACACGACCGAGGAACUGAUACUGGUAGCUCUUCUACCCAUCUUUCUUCUUAGGUUAACAGAAAGACCUACAUAGCUAUCCACUACCCGGACUGCUUUCUUACUAUAAACUCGACAAACGAUUACAACGAGGGGAAUGUCGUCUCUUGAAGUCUCGUAAUACGUGUCCACUCUACCCUUAACCUGUUAGUUGAUUCUUCGGUAAUAUAAUGUUCCCUAGUUGUAAGGUGGCACAGUAGUUCCCCAAGUACCGUGUUCCACCACUGAAGAGCUUACCUCUGCCUUUACCACCUCUUUCAUAUAUGCCACUUGUUAAACUUCUACUUUUAAAACACGAUGCGGUACUACUGGCCCCAGAGAACAGUUACCGUUUACGACCUGCAUUAUGGUUACCGAGGGUCAAGAAGUAAUGCAAGUUCGGAUUAAGAGUAGAACUGUCCUUCUUGUGACAAAAACCGUUCGAAUAAGAACCUUUACUACACGACUUCUCCUAACUCGUACAACUACACCUACCAAGAUGAUUAUUCGGAUAACAAGGUCAUUCUUAUCACCUAACACCCCUCGAACAACUACCAUUUCCGGCCCCUAGACAGAGUUGACUUUUACUAUUUUUCUUUCAAUUCAGUUUCAACAGGUAACUAAGUAGACUUCUGCUUCCAUUACUUCUUUUUGUGUUCCCGGCAGCGUUCUUUAGAAACUUCUCCUCUUUCUUCUUCUCUUCUAUGAGAAGAAGUCUUAGUCUUUGGAGUAGACUCAGACUCAGCAGUCUAAGGCUCUCACUUAGUCUAAUGAGGUCGCUCAGUAGACUGUAGUCGUCAAGUUCACUACUGUUCGCCUCUGCUUCCUUCUCUGUGAGGUUCUUCCUAUUUGCGUUCGUACCCUUUUCUUCCGCUCUAGCGUCCGCGCUCUUUUCUGCAUCUUUCGCACUGUCCUUUAGCUUCGUCUUCAGUUUUUCCUACCAUCUCUCACUGUCACUUUGACCUUUACGCUCACUAUCGUCGAGACUCCUACGGUCUUCUUUCGCCGUUGCAGUACCUUCCUUUAGAUUCCGAUGUAGAGUUUAAAGACUAGUGUGUCGUCAUCGACGAGACUUACUACGGUGAAGUUGAGUCCUUUUCCAACCUUGUGGUUCCUCAGACCGUGUUCUUCUGUUUAGAGUUGACCUCUUACCGCUCUACGCGUGUUUACCACAAUGGCUGAGGUUUAGACUUUCCUUCCGACCAUAGCACGGACAAGAUUGACCGUCGGCUUCGUUUAGAUCCUCGGUCUCGUGCUCACGAUUAGUGAGGUACUCGUUCUCGUACUCACAUUCAGGGUCUUCGGGUUAGUUUUCCAGUUUGCAGUCGGACCUCUCUAACCAUUCGGGCUCAGGACAAGUAGUCGCAUCAUCUUCAGGACAGGUACGAAGGUUUGUUUUUCUUUCGUCCUCGGGUGGGGCUGUCUCCUUAUACUCGUACUCAGGAGUAGCUUCUUCGGGGUCGUUCUCGGGUGGACCUUCCCGUUCGUCUUCGGGACAACAGGCGUCCUUGUCCUCAGGACAACUUCAAGCCUGUUCUUCGUAAUCGUCCUCGAGUCGAUCCAGGAACGUCGCCUCUUCAGGUUCAUCCUCGGGCCUUUCUUGGGUACACGCUUUUUCACAGUCAGGUUCGGGGUGUGGAUACCUCUUCCCUUUUUCGUAAUCGGCUUGAAGACGUUCUAGAGGCGACGUGUUCCCAAAAUCGGCCUCGGGACUAUACGGAGGAUCUUUCUGAUGUUCGUCUUCGGGAGUUUCCUUACGAGUAUCUUUGAAAUCGUCCUCGGGACACCCUAGAAGAUCUUCUUCGAACUGGGGACAUGCUCCACCAGCUAGAGCGUCCUUGCGGUCGUCUUCAGGAUCGGGUGGAGCGUCCCGUCAUAGUGGUGAGUUAGUGCCAUCCUCGGGUAGAUCCUCACAGAGAGGGCUACCUAGUUUUGCGUAUUCUUCUCCCUCCCCGAAAUGAGUUGCAAUGAGUAAACGUUCUGUCAUAGCAAGUGGAAGACAACUAGCAAGAGUGGCGAUACCACCUUCUCCACUAGCACUGUCCAUAUAGUCAGUGUCCCCGAGAGCAAUAGCUAGUGGAGGUUCUGCUAUGUCUUCGGGAGGUUCUUCUCGUAGCGGUUCCAGAUCGUCCAUGUCUUCCUCCUCGGCUUCGCACAGUGCGUCGGGUGGUCGAAUAGCUCUGGCGUGUUCCCCUCCACCGAUGUCGUCCUCAGGUCAUGCAUCAGCAAGCGGAGGACCACCCUUUGGUUCAAGGGCGCCACUAGCACGUGCCAGCGAGAGGUCCUCGUCCUCGGACAGACCCAGUUCUAGUUCCAGGGGUGGUGGACACGUCCUAGCGAGGGGGUAACGGAGGGGUAGAGGUUUUGCACGUUCAUUGCUGUCCAGGGCCAGAUACAGCCACUCAGGACUUCCCUUCUUCCCAAACCAAAGGAUACCUCUACCGAGGGGACUAAGACGACCCUUCAUCCCCUUUUUCUUUCUUCCGUAAGUGAUCGACAAAGGGGACGACAACAAGUCGAGACAAUUUUACAAUGUAUACACUAAGCUCUACUAAAACUUAAACCAACUUAAUAGAGACCUGUUGGUAUUAGACUCCAAUCAGAUACCAAAACAAUUAACGUACGGUUGUAAAAGAACAUAGUUAGGAACAAUUACCACGCUUAGUACCAAAAAUAGUUUCGACGAUGUACAUCAUUAGGAUAUGAAAACUGUUUAUACCUGUGGCUCAGAGAAUACUAGGUCAGGCUCAAUAGAAACGAGAGUGCUUGCUAGAGCUCCAAAUCAUAGAUCGUGCAGGCAUACGAUAUAUACUUGACAAGGAUAAACAUUGUAUGAUGUUUAUAUGUCAUAGACUAAUAGUGACUACCAA
rnacentral:rRNA from 1 species